rnacentral:rRNA from 1 species
GAUGAACGCUGGCGGCGUGCCUAAUACAUGCAAGUCGAGCGAACAGACGAGGAGCUUGCUCCUCUGAUGUUAGCGGCGGACGGGUGAGUAACACGUGGAUAACCUACCUAUAAGACUGGGAUAACUUCGGGAAACCGGAGCUAAUACCGGAUAAUAUAUUGAACCGCAUGGUUCAAUAGUGAAAGACGGUUUUGCUGUCACUUAUAGAUGGAUCCGCGCCGCAUUAGCUAGUUGGUAAGGUAACGGCUUACCAAGGCAACGAUGCGUAGCCGACCUGAGAGGGUGAUCGGCCACACUGGAACUGAGACACGGUCCAGACUCCUACGGGAGGCAGCAGUAGGGAAUCUUCCGCAAUGGGCGAAAGCCUGACGGAGCAACGCCGCGUGAGUGAUGAAGGUCUUCGGAUCGUAAAACUCUGUUAUUAGGGAAGAACAAAUGUGUAAGUAACUAUGCACGUCUUGACGGUACCUAAUCAGAAAGCCACGGCUAACCACGUG